CCGGAAGUGCCCUUCCCAUAGGUGGAGGCGGCGGCGGAGCUGCGGGAGCUGGCGGGGGAGGGGCUGGCGGCCAUGGCGGGCGGGGCCGGAGGGGGCGUGGCCUUCGCCGCCGCCCUGCCCCCCAUGCUGGCCUGCCUGCGCUCCUGGGCGGCCGCCAUGCUGGGCGAGGUGGGCGGGGCCCUGCUGGGGGGCGUGGCCCCGGCCCUGCUGCCCCGCCUCGGCCCCGCCCUGGCGGCCGCCGCCCUCCGCGACCCCCACCCCGAGGUGCGCGGCAACGCCCUCUGCAGCCUGGGCCGCCUGGCCGCCAACGGGGCGGGGCAAAGCCCGUAUCCAUGGCAACGGGGGCGGGGCCGGGACGGGCGCCAUGGCAACGGGGUGGGAAAGGGGCGGGGCUUGGCUCAUUGCCAUGGCAACGGGGUGGGGGGGAGGGGCGGGAGGGUGGGUGCCAUAGCAACCGGUGCUGGGGGGAGGCCACGCCCCCUGGUUGCCUAGCAACCCCCUUAUAGGAGCGAGGCCACGCCCCCCUGUUGCCAUAGCAACUCCUGCCAGAGAGGAGGCCACGCCCCCUGGUCACCUAGCAACCCCUUAAUAGGACCGAGGCCACGCCCCCUUCUGUAGCCACGCCCCCCGUUGCCUAGCAACCCGCAGCGAGGCCCCGCCCCCUCCUCCUCCUGCACCCCGCUGGGUCCUAGCGCCCCUCCCUCCCCCCCCCCCCUUCCCUAGCAACCCCUUUAGGCCCCUC
rnacentral:lncRNA from 1 species